rnacentral:lncRNA from 1 species
CUUUUUUCAUUAGGCAGCAGCUAAGCCAUAUUCACUUGGGUUUACUCAUUGAAACAUGAGUCAGAUGCAACGAAGGUUAUUCCAAGAUUUUUUUAUAUGGUAGAAACCUAAUCUAAGACACAAGUAAAGUUGAUUAGACUAGAGACUAGCCAUAAUUAAUCUGCCUGACGAAAGGGAUGUCUUGCAUUAGUUCAGUUGUGUAGAAAGGCCACAAUACUCAGUUGAAACGUGAAUAUCAACAUAUUUAAAUGUUGCAAGGGCACUAUAUUUUCAAUCUCGAUUACCUAUUAAAAUUUGGACAGCAUGUAUAUUGACAGCCAUUUGUUUAAUCAACGGAAUAUCAUCUCCUCUGUUGAAAAAUAAAUCUCCAUAUGAAAUUUUAUAUAAUGAGCUUGCAGAUUAUUCCAAUCUUAGGUGUUUGGUUGUUUGGCUUUUGCAUCAACUUCGAUCAAUCAUCGGACUAAAUUCCAACUUCGUGCUAUGAUUUGUGUGUUUUUGGGGUAUCCAGCAAAAGUGAAAGGAUACAAAUUGUAUGAUAUUGAAUCAGAGAGGAUUUUCAUAUCUAGGCAAGUCAUUUUCCAUGAAAAAAUUUAUCUUGUCAUAAGGUUGUAGAGGCAGAUAAGCUCAUUGAUCCUUGCAAGAUGACAACUCAAAAGUCUCCUUAUCACAUUGGAAACUGUCUCAUAUGCAGCCUUCUCUCCAUCUCAUAGGGAGUAUGUGUUAAGUGUUGAACCAUUGUGAACUAUAAUUCUUCCAUCAGCUUGUCAAACUUCCUCAAUGGCGUGAGGCUACGAAGCUGGAGUUGGAGGAUAUGGAGUGUAAUAACACGUGGUCUAUCGUUCCAUUGCCACGGGGAAAGCACUACAUUGGCUAAUGGUGGAUUUGUAAAAUUAAAUACAAAUCAGAUGGCAUUGUCAAAAGGAACAAUGUAAACCUUAUAGCAUAAGGUUAUACUCAAUAAGAAGGGCUUGAUUAUUUUGAUACCUUUUCUCCUGUGGCUAAAAGAGUAAUUUUCGUAGAUUUAUUGG